rnacentral:rRNA from 1 species
AUUGAACGCUGGCGGCAGGCCUAACACAUGCAAGUCGAAUGGUAACAGGAAACAGCUUGCUGUUUCGCUGACGAGUGGCGGACGGGUGAGUAAUGUCUGGGAAACUGCCUGAUGGAGGGGGAUAACUACUGGAAACGGUAGCUAAUACCGCAUAACGUCGCAAGACCAAAGAGGGGGACCUUCGGGCCUCUUGCCAUCAGAUGUGCCCAGAUGGGAUUAGCUAGUAGGUGGGGUAACGGCUCACCUAGGCGACGAUCCCUAGCUGGUCUGAGAGGAUGACCAGCCACACUGGAACUGAGACACGGUCCAGACUCCUACGGGAGGCAGCAGUGGGGAAUAUUGCACAAUGGGCGCAAGCCUGAUGCAGCCAUGCCGCGUGUAUGAAGAAGGCCUUCGGGUUGUAAAGUACUUUCAGUCGGGAGGAAGGGAGUAAA